AACGAACGCUGGCGGCAUGCCUAACACAUGCAAGUCGAACGAGACCUUCGGGUCUAGUGGCGCACGGGUUCGUCACGCGUGGGAACCUGCCCUUAGGUUCGGAAUAACUCCCCGAAAGGGGUGCUAAUACCGGAUAAUGUCUUCGGACCAAAGAUUUAUCGCCUUUGGUUGUGCCCGCGUUGGAUUAGCUAGUUGUUAGGGUAAUAGCCUACCAAGGCGACGAUCCAUAGCUGGUCUGAGAGGAUGAUCAGCCACACUGGGACGGAGACACGGCCGAGACUCCUACGGGAGGGAGCAGUGGGGAAUAGUGGAACAUGGGCGAAGGCAUGAUCGAGUAAUGCCGCGAGAGUGAUGAAGGCAGGAGGGUUGUAAAGUUCUUGUACCCGGGAUGAUAAUGACAGUACCGGGAGAAUAAGCUCCGGCUAACUCCGUG
rnacentral:rRNA from 1 species